rnacentral:rRNA from 1 species
GCCUUGGGCUCACCUGGGAACUGCAGUGGAUACUGGGCGACUAGAGUGGUAGAGGGUAGCGGAAUUCCUGGUGUAGCAGUGAAAUGCGUAGAGAUCAGGAGGAACAUCAAGGGAAGGCAGCUACCUGGUCCAAAAAAAAAAAGAGGCACGAAAGCGUGGGGAGCAAACAGGAUUAGAUACCCUGGUAGUCCACGCCCUAAACGAUGCGAACUGGAUGUUGGGUGCAAUUUGGCACGCAGUAUCGAAGCUAACGCGUUAAGUUCGCCGCCUGGGGAGUACGGUCGCAAGACUGAAACUCAAAGGAAUUGACGGGGGCCCGCACAAGGGGGAGUAUGUGGUUUAAUUCGAUGCAACGCGAAGUU